CCUUAUUGGGCCAACCCUUCUCUGUAGCAAAAGAGUGGGAAGAUUUUAAAGUAGAGGUGAUAUACCUAUCGAGCCUAGAGAUAGCUGGUUAUUCAAGAAAAGGAUUUCAGUCCACCUUUAAGUUUUUAUAAUAAAUAAAUUCCCAUAUAAUAAACGCAUAAAUACUAAAUAAACUUAAAAGCCACUCAAAUAAGGUACAGCCUAUUUGAAUUAGGAAACAGCCUCCAAUGUUGGGUAAUGACCCCCCCCCCCCCCCAAGGACAAAGGGGGCUAAAAAGCGCCCCCUUUUAAAAAGGGGCCCAGCUUUUUUAUAAAAUUUUUUUUAUUUCCCAAACCAAAAAAAACCCCCCAACGGCUCUGGAAAAACCCAAAAAAGUGUGAGAACCCUCCUGGUAAAAAUUAGAAAAAAAAAAAAACCUCUCCCAAAAUGGAAACCCCAGCCCAUAAGGAACCUUCCCGGGACCCCCCCCCCCAGGUUAUUGUUUUCACCCUCCAGAAAAACGGUUUUUUAACCGCGGUUAACCUU
rnacentral:rRNA from 1 species